GAUGAACGCUAGCGGCAGGCCUAAUACAUGCAAGUCGAACGGUGUCUUCGGACAUAGUGGCGCACGGGUGCGUAACACGUAUGCAACCUACCUUACAUUGGGGGAUUGCCUUUCGAAAGGGAGAUUAAUACCGCAUAAGACAGUAGCUGGGCAUCCAGCAGCUGUUAAAGAUUUAUCGAUGUAAGCUGGGCAUGCGUCCAAUUAGCUAGUUGGUGAGGUAACGGCUCACCAAGGCAAUGAUUGGUAGGGGAACUGAGAGGUCAAUCCCCCACACUGGCACUGAGAUACGGGCCAGACUCCUACGGGAGGCAGCAGUAGGGAAUAUUGGGCAAUGGACGCAAGUCUGACCCAGCCAUGCCGCGUGCAGGAUGAAGGCGUUAUGCGUUGUAAACUGCUUUUAUACAGGAAGAAACGACCCUUGCGAGAGGCAUUGACGGUACUGUAUGAAUAGGCACCGGCUAACUCCGUGCCAGCCGCCGCCGUAAGAC
rnacentral:rRNA from 1 species